ensembl:lncRNA
AGGGGGUACAGGUUAGUAAUGAGACUAUAUACAGGGGGUACAGGUUAGUAAUGAGACUAUAUACAGGGGGUACAGGUUAGUAAUGAGACUAUAUACAGGGGUACAGGUUAGUAAUGAGACUAUAUACAGGGGGUACAGGUUAGUAAUGAGACUAUAUACAGGGGGUACAGGUUAGUAAUGAGACUAUAUACAGGGGUUACAGGUUAGUAAUGAGACUAUAUACAGGGGUACAGGUUAGUAAUGAGACUAUAUACAGGGGUACAGGUUAGUAAUGAGACUAUAUACAGGGGGUACAGGUUAGUAAUGAGACUAUAUACAGGGGGUACAGGUUAGUAAUGAGACUAUAUACAGGGGGUACCGGUUAGUAAUGAGACUAUAUACAGGGGGUACAGGUUAGUAAUGAGACUAUAUACAGGGGGUACAGGUUAGUAAUGAGACUAUAUACAGGGGGUACAGGUUAGUAAUGAGACUAUAUACAGGGGGUACAGGUUAGUAAUGAGACUAUAUACAGUGGGUACAGGUUAGUAAUGAGACUAUAUACAGGGGGUACCGGUACCGAGUCAGUGUGCAGGGCUACAGGUUAGUAAUGAGACUAUAUACAGGGGGUACCGGUACCGAGUCAGUGUGCAGGGCUAUAGGUUAGUAAUGAGACUAUAUACAGGGGUACAGGUUAGUAAUGAGACUAUAUACAGGGGGUACAGGUUAGUAAUGAGACUAUAUACAGGGGUACAGGUUAGUAAUGAGACUAUAUACAGGGGGUACAGGUUAGUAAUGAGACUAUAUACAGGGGGUACAGGUUAGUAAUGAGGCUAUAUACAGGGGGUACAGGUUAGUAAUGAGGUUAUAUACAGGGGGUACAGGUUAGUAAUGAGACUAUAUACACGGGGUACAGGUUAGUAAUGAGACUAUAUACAGGGGGUACAGGUUAGUAAUGAGACUAUAUACAGGGGGUACAGGUUAGUAAUGAGACUAUAUACAGGGGGUACCGGUACAGAGUCAAUGUGUGGGGGUACAGGUUAGUAAUGAGGCUAUAUACAGGGGGUACCGGUACCGAGUCAAUGUGUGGGGGUACAGGUUAGUAAUGAGACUAUAUACAGGGGGUACCGGUACAGAGUCAAUGUGCGGGGGUACAGGUUAGUAAUGAGGCUAUAUACAAGGGGUACCGGUACCGAGUCAAUGUGUGGGGGUACAGGUUAGUAAUGAGACUAUAUACAGGGGGUACCGGUACAGAGUCAAUGUGCGGGGGUACAGGUUAGUAAUGAGGCUAUAUACAGGGGGUACAGGUUAGUAAUGAGACUAUAUACAGGGGGUACCGGUACCGAGUCAAUGUGUGGGGGUACAG